rfam:Glycine soja cultivar W05 scaffold1570_118, whole genome shotgun sequence.
UAGGCAUGGUGAUGAUUGUUUAUUGUCAUCUGAUGAAUCAUUUGAUGAAUUCCAAACCUCCUACUCAUUCUGA